rnacentral:rRNA from 1 species
GACGAACGCUGGCGGCGUGCUUAACACAUGCAAGUCGAACGAAGUGGCGAACGGGUGAGUAACGCGUAAUCAACCUGCCCUUCAGAGGGGGACAACAGUGGGAAACGACUUCUAAUACCGCAUACUGAAGGAGGGGCUUGCGGCGGAUUAGCUAGUUGGAGGGGUAACGGCCCACCAGGGUGAUGAGCAGUAGCCGGGCUGACAGAGUGAACGGCCACAUUGGGACUUGGAAAAGGCCCAGACUCCUAGGGGAGGAAGCAGUGGGGAAUCUUCCGCAAGGGAAGAAAGUCUGACGGAGCAACGCCGCGUGGGUGAUGACGGCCUUCGGGUUGUAAAGCUUUGUUAAUCGGGACGCGGUACCGGAAUAGGAAGCCACGGCUAACUACGUGCCAGCAGCCGCGGUAAUUC